rnacentral:lncRNA from 1 species
UGGAGAGACUUCAAAUGAGUGCAAAAUGCUCUGUGAAUGUUGAUGAAUGAACCCCAAUUGUUGUGCUCUCACAAAAACCCCAAACUUUGAUGAUGAAGUGGUGCAAAAAUGGUGGAGAAAUGGUUUUUGAGAUGACGGGUGAAGGGAAAAAUGAAGAAAGUGUUGUUGACAGAUUGGCAAGCGUACCAAAUCGUUCAAGUAAUAUACUUGGAGUAACCCAAUAUCGUUCUUCCCAAGAGACUCGAAAGGCUUUCUCGUUCAUGUGAAUUAAAAUAAUAAGACUUGAAAAUAAAAAUAAUUAAUUUGAUUUAAGAACAAAAAAUAUUAACAUGCAAAAGAGAUUGAUUCAAAUGACAAGAAGAAAACAAUGGAUGAAUGGAGUUGUUGGGGGUUUACAAUUUCAUCAUUAUCCGCUCUCGCUUAUCUACUCCUCUUGAAUUAUUAGUUUGACUAAUUAAUUGUCAUGCAACUUUCUUAGCCUACCCUUAACCCAAUCCCUCGGCGAAAAGAGCCUAAUAUUAACUACUUGCUUGCUAUCCCUAGCCUCCCUUAGCAAUUAAUACAACAUUAUAGAGCAGAAGUUAAACGCAAUUGAUCGUCCUACCCCUAUCCCUAGGUGGUAUUGCAAAAUCAAGGAAUUACUCACCAAUUCAUGACAUUACUGUACGUCCUCGUAUCAAUAAAGACAAACAACAGUUAUCAAAUGAGUUAAACCAUAAAGGCCUUAAGCACAGAUGAGAACCUAACAAUUAACAAACAAACAUAUGGAAACCAUAUAAAUAAUCAAGAGUUUCAAUAAAAGAGAGUAUCAAAAGAUUACAUUGUUUCCCCCAACAACAAUAGGGUUUAGU